rnacentral:rRNA from 1 species
UAAGGAAUAUUGGACAAUGGCCGCAAGGCUGAUCCAGCCAUGCCGCGUGCAGGAAGACGGACCUAUGGUUUGUAAACUGCUUUUGAACUAGAGAAAACCCCUUUACGUGUAAAGGGCUGAUAGUAUAGUUAGAAUAAGCAUCGGCUAACUUCGUGCCAGCAGCCGCGGUAAGACGAAGGAUGCAAGCGUUAUCCGGAUUCAUUGGGUUUAAAGGGAGCGUAGGCGGAUCUGUAAGUCAGUGGUGAAAUCUCUUCGCUUAACGAAGAAACUGCCAUUGAUACUGCAGAUCUAGAGUACAGUUGCCGUUGGCGGAAUAUGACAUGUAGUGGUGAAAUACUUAGAUAUGUCAUAGAACACCGAUUGCGAAGGCAGCUAACGAAGCUGUAACUGACGCUGAGGC